UGCUAUCAACUGUUUCUUCGAGCUUGACGCCGGAGUAAUUGGACCUCCGGCCGGGAAUUUCAUCCGGUGAGUCGUCGGAAUCUGAGUCUCCGGGGAAUUUGGUAAAUGCUCUGCAAAUGAAGCUUGAAACCCUAGAAAGAGAAAUUGGUUUUGGGUUUUGUGGAAGCAAAGAGAACGACGUAGUAUUGAGUGCUACCAUCGCCAAUGUCCCGUGAGGAUGGAAAGGAUUAGCGUUA
rnacentral:misc_RNA from 1 species